UAACACGUCGUGUGAUCAAUACGGUCGCCCGUCACCCAGCUCCGUCACCCCCCAGAGUUCCCUCCUGCGUUUCGUAGUCCAUCUCCUCCCCCACUCCUGACAACCCCAGCUUGUUUUCUGGCCUGGCCAUCUUGCCUUGUUCGUAUAAAUGGAAUCAAUCCUAGACCUCGAAGUCCUUUUAGUCUGGUUUCUCGCACGUAGCAUCAGGCACAAUUCUUCAAUAUUGUGGCAGCGAUCGGUGUUUGGUCGUUUCGAUUGCAGAGUGUGGUCCGUGCUAUGGCUACUCCACUGUUUCUUUACCCAUCCUUCAGUUGAAGGGCAUUUGGGUUGUUUCCAAGGGAUACACUUUCAUAGUUUAAAAAGUGCCAAAAAUAGGAAGUCUGACUCAGGUCUUGGCGAGGCUGGGUGAGAGGAUCCCCCACUCAGCUAGCGAGCUGGAGGGACCAGUUGGCAGCAUUCAAUAAAAUUGGAAACAUCUGUGCAGCCCGCUCCUGGGUGAACUUGAGAAUUCACAGCUCAUGCCGUGUUACUGUGUUACUGCUAGAGAAUGAUACAAACCUUGAAAAAUGGGCCAGAAGGAUCUAUCUAGGUCAAACUCAUUGUCAUCAUCAGGACAGGGAGGAGAGAAUAGGGCUGGUGGUGAGGGUCAAAGGUCACUUUUUUAAAAAGAUUUUAUUUAUUUUUAGAGAGAGGGGAAAGGAGGGAGAAAGAGAGGGAAAGAAACAUUGAUGUGAGAGAGAAACAUUGGUUGUUGGUUGCCUCUUGCACACGCUCCAAACAGGGACACAACCUACCACCCAGACAUGUGCUUUGACCGGAAAUCGACCCAGCCAACUUUCGCUUUGUGGGAUGACACCCAACCAACUGAGCCACACUAGUCAGGGCUCUCUCUUUAAUGCUUUUUACAAGGACAGUAUGGACGCAUGUAUCACUUACACAUUUUGAGAUAUAUGAAAAGGAUAACAGACUGGUAGCACAUUUGACAACAUGUUUGUGGUUGUAAAUUCUAGGUUCUUAAAAUUGCUUUUAAAAGUAGUUUGAGGGAAGGACCCAAGACAGGAAAAAGUGUGGGGUGUUCCUAUUAUUAAGAAACUCCUGUGGGUGGCCUGGAGAGAAUGUCCAGGGUCCAGAGACACAGGAUGGGGACCAGGGUGGGCAGGUCCCUGGUCCUGGAGGACCCUAGGCAAUAUGCGUAGCCUUUAGAAACUGCUAAGUGGGUGGGGCCUGAUUUGAUUGACCUUUUUGUUGGGAAGACAAUGGAUUGGAUGGUUGAGCUUGAAAAUUGGAAGCCGUUUUGGAGCCUGUGUUGUGGCAUUCAAAGAUAGGGACCUGAGCCCUGGCCCUAGCAGUGGAGAACCAGAGAAGAGGAUGGAUUCAGUAUUUAUUUUGGAGAGAGAAGGGAUUUCUGCUUGGAGGGCAGGGUGGGAAGGAUUCCAGGUGGGACUAAAGAGGUAGCCAGGGGCCUUCCCAACCCAGCAGAGGUGCUUGGACUCCACCCAGCAGGCUAUGGGGGGAGCUUUGGAGGGUGUGAGCAGGGGCAGGGACGAGAGGAGAGAGGCAUUUCAGAGACAUCAGUCCACAUGUAGUGUGCCGGCCCGGAGUCUGAAGAACAUGCUGGUUAUAAUGUAGCUGCGAGUGCACCAGUUACUCGCUUUCUGGACCCUUGGCGUCUUCCAUUUUUUCAGGAGGACGCAGGAAAAAGAAAAGGCCCUCUGUGUGGAAAUCGGCAGAGCACA